rnacentral:tRNA from 1 species
GGGGUUGUAGUUAAGUUGGUUAUAACGCCAGCCUGUCACGCUGGAGGCCGCGGGUUCGAGUCCCGUCAACCCCGCCA